rnacentral:rRNA from 1 species
UGGAUCCAGACUUUGAUUAUGGCUCAGGAUGAACGCUAGCUACAGGCUUAACACAUGCAAGUCGAGGGGAAACGAUAUUGGAAGCUUGCUUCCGAUAGGCGUCGACCGGCGCACGGGUGAGUAACGCGUAUCCAACCUGCCCACCACUUGGGGAUAACCUUGCGAAAGUAAGACUAAUACCCAAUGAUAUCUCUAGAAGACAUCCGAAAGGGAUUAAAGAUUCAUCGGUGAUGGAUGGGGAUGCGUCUGAUUAGCUUGUUGGCGGGGGUAACGGCCCACCAAGGCGACGAUCAGUAGGGGUUCUGAGAGGAAGGUCCCCCACAUUGGAACUGAGACACGGUCCAAACUCCUACGGGAGGCAGCAGUGAGGAAUAUUGGUCAAUGGACGAGAGUCUGAACCAGCCAAGUAGCGUGCAGGAUGACGGCCCUAUGGGUUGUAAACUGCUUUUAUAAGGGAAUAAAGUGAGUCUCGUGAGACUUUUUGCAUGUACCUUAUGAAUAAGGACCGGCUAAUUCCGUGCCAGCAGCCGCGGUAAUACGGAAGGUCCGGGCGUUAUCCGGAUUUAUUGGGUUUAAAGGGAGCGUAGGCCGGAGAUUAAGCGUGUUGUGAAAUGUAGACGCUCAACGUCUGCACUGCAGCGCGAACUGGUUUCCUUGAGUACGCACAAAGUGGGCGGAAUUCGUGGUGUAGCGGUGAAAUGCUUAGAUAUCACGAAGAACUCCGAUUGCGAAGGCAGCUCACUGGAGCGCAACUGACGCUGAAGCUCGAAAGUGCGGGUAUCGAACAGGAUUAGAUACCCUGGUAGUCCGCACGGUAAACGAUGGAUGCCCGCUGUUGGUCUGAAUAGGUCAGCGGCCAAGCGAAAGCAUUAAGCAUCCCACCUGGGGAGUACGCCGGCAACGGUGCAACUCAAAUGAAUUGACGGA